UUCCAGACUCCUACGGGAGGCAGCAGUGAGGAAUAUUGGUCAAUGGGCGAGAGCCUGAACCAGCCAAGUCGCGUGAGGGAGUACUGCCCUAUGGGUUGUAAACCUCUUUUGUCGGGGAGCAAAAGCCGGACGUGUCCGGCUGUGAAAGUACCCGAAGAAAAAGCAUCGGCUAACUCCGUGCCAGCAGCCGCGGUAAUACGGAGGAUGCGAGCGUUAUCUGGAUUUAUUGGGUUUAAAGGGUGCGCAGGCGGAUUUUUAAGUCAGCGGUCAAAUCGUGGGGCUCAACCCCAUCCAGCCGUUGAAACUGGGGGCCUUGAGUGGGCGAGAAGUAUGCGGAAUGCGUGGUGUAGCGGUGAAAUGCAUAGAUAUCACGCAGAACUCCGAUUGCGAAGGCAGCAUACCGGCGCGCAACUGACGCUCAUGCACGAAAGCGUGGGUAUCGAGCAGGAUUAGAUACCCUCGUAGU
rnacentral:rRNA from 1 species